rnacentral:rRNA from 6 species
GACCUUGAAAUACCACCCUUUAAUGUUUGAUGUUCUAACGUGGACCCGUAAUCCGGGUUGCGGACAGUGUCUGGUGGGUAGUUUGACUGGGGCGGUCUCCUCCUAAAGAGUAACGGAGGAGCACGAAGGUUGGCUAAUCCUGGUCGGACAUCAGGAGGUUAGUGCAAUGGCAUAAGCCAGCUUGACUGCGAGCGUGACGGCGCGAGCAGGUGCGAAAGCAGGUCAUAGUGAUCCGGUGGUUCUGAAUGGAAGGGCCAUCGCUCAACGGAUAAAAGGUACUCCGGGGAUAACAGGCUGAUACCGCCCAAGAGUUCAUAUCGACGGCGGUGUUUGGCACCUCGAUGUCGGCUCAUCACAUCCUGGGGCUGAAGUAGGUCCCAAGGGUAUGGCUGUUCGCCAUUUAAAGUGGUACGCGAGCUGGGUUUAGAACGUCGUGAGACAGUUCGGUCCCUAUCUGCCGUGGGCGCUGGAGAACUGAGGGGGGCUGCUCCUAGUACGAGAGGACCGGAGUGGACGCAUCACUGGUGUUCGGGUUGUCAUGCCAAUGGCACUGCCCGGUAGCUAAAUGCGGAAGAGAUAAGUGCUGAAAGCAUCUAAGCACGAAACUUGCCCCGA